rnacentral:rRNA from 1 species
UACGAAGGGGGCUAGCGUUAAUCGGAAUUACUGGGCGUAAAGCGUGCGCAGGCGGUUUUGUAAGACAGUUGUGAAAUCCCCGGGCUCAACCUGGGAACUGCAUCUGUGACUGCAUCGCUGGAGUACGGCAGAGGGGAUGGAAUUCCGCGUGUAGCAGUGAAAUGCGUAGAUAUGCGGAGGAACACCGGAGGCGAAGGCGGCUUGCUGGGCUCUGUCUGACGCUGAGGCGCGAAAGCGUGGGGAGCGAACAGG